AGGAUUAACGCUGGCGGCGUGCCUGACACAUGCAAGUCGAACGAGGCCGCAAGGCCGAGUGGCGGACGGGUGAGUAACACGUGACCAACCAACCUCGAAGUUGGGAAUAGCUCUGCGAAAGUAGGGGUAAUACCGAAUGUGGCCCAGGGCGGGCAUCCGCCUUGGUCUAAAGAUUCAUCGCUUCGAGACGGGGUCGCGGCCUAUUAGCUUGUUGGUGAGGUAACGGCUCACCAAGGCGAUGAUGGGUAGCUGGUCUGAGAGGACGACCAGCCACACUGGGACUGAGACACGGCCCAGACUCCUACGGGAGGCAGCAGUGAGGAAUCUUCCGCAAAUGGGCGAAAAGCCUGACGGAGCAACGCCGCGUGUGGGAUGAAGACUCUAGGGUUGUAAACCACUGUCGGAGGGGACGAUCGUGACGGUACCCUCCAAGAAAGCCCCGGCUAACUACGUGCCAGCAGCCGC
rnacentral:rRNA from 1 species